rnacentral:rRNA from 1 species
GCACUGUCUCAACGAGAGACUCGGUGAAAUCAUAGUACCUGUGAAGAUGCAGGUUACCCGCGACAGGACGGAAAGACCCCGUGGAGCUUUACUGUAGCCUGAUAUUGAAAUUCGGCACAGCUUGUACAGGAUAGGUAGGAGCCUUUGAAACGUGAGCGCUAGCUUACGUGGAGGCGCUGGUGGGAUACUACCCUAGCUGUGUUGGCUUUCUAACCCGCACCACUUAUCGUGGUGGGAGACAGUGUCAGGCGGGCAGUUUGACUGGGGCGGUCGCCUCCUAAAAGGUAACGGAGGCGCUCAAAGGUUCCCUCAGAAUGGUUGGAAAUCAUUCAUAGAGUGUAAAGGCAUAAGGGAGCUUGACUGCGAGACCUACAAGUCGAGCAGGGUCGAAAGACGGACUUAGUGAUCCGGUGGUUCCGCAUGGAAGGGCCAUCGCUCAACGGAUAAAAGCUACCCCGGGGAUAACAGGCUUAUCUCCCCCAAGAGUUCACAUCGACGGGGAGGUUUGGCACCUCGAUGUCGGCUCAUCGCAUCCUGGGGCUGUAGUCGGUCCCAAGGGUUGGGCUGUUCGCCCAUUAAAGCGGUACGCGAGCUGGGUUCAGAACGUCGUGAG